GUAGGGGGCAAGCGUUGUCCGGAUUUACUGGGCGUAAAGAGCGUGUAGGCGGCCAGGCAGGUCUGUUGUGAAAACUGGAGGCUUAACCUCCAGACGUCGACAGAAACCGUCUGGCUAGAGUCCGGAAGAGGAGAGUGGAAUUCCUGGUGUAGCGGUGAAAUGCGCAGAUAUCAGGAAGAACACCAAUGGCGAAGGCAGCUCUCUGGGACGGUACUGACGCUGAGACGCGAAAGCGUGGGGAGCGAACAGGAUUAGAUACCCUGGUAGUCCACGCCGUAAACGAUGGGUGCUAGGUGUGGGAGGUGUCGACUCCUCCCGUGCCGCAGCUAACGCAUUAAGCACCCCGCCUGGGGAGUACGGCCGCAAGGCUAAA
rnacentral:rRNA from 1 species